AACCUUAUGGACCUGCGGGCGUAUACCUGCGGAAGGAUCAUUAUAGAGUUUUCUAAACUCCCAACCCAUGCGAACUUACCUUUUGUUGCCUCGGCAGAAGUUAUAGGUCUUCUUAUAGCUGCUGCCGGUGGACCAUUAAACUCUUGUUAUUUUAUGUAAUCUGAGCGUCUUAUUUUAAUAAGUCAAAACUUUUAACAACGGAUCU
rnacentral:misc_RNA from 1 species